UUAAACUGAAGAGUUUGAUCAUGGCUCAGAUUGAACGCUGGCGGCAGGCCUAACACAUGCAAGUCGAGCGGUAACAGAUCCAGCUUGCUGGAUGCUGAC
rnacentral:rRNA from 1 species